GGCAAACAACAGUCUAGUAAGAGUCAAUAACAAAGACCCAAAGGACUCCACAAAUCCGGUGAAAAUAAGGUGAAAAUGGAAGACUUCGCUUGAGAAAUUCGUCCGAUUAUAAAAGAGGAACGUACAAAAAAAGAACCAUGAUCUGAUGAAAAAAGAAUGCUAAACUUACCAGACAUGUUGUGCAAAUUAAGAAGGACUCCUGGAAGAAGAGCAGUUAUGAGAUUCCACAAUGUCCUUUUCUGGCUGAGUUAUAUGGGCUAUAUCGAAAUAUUCAUAAAAGUCACAUAAAUUCUCAACACACAAGUCUUAAAACUGUCUCAGAGCAUACAAUAAUACCCUAAUAUAGCUAGGGAUAUAUUAGUUUGUGAAAUUUUCUCUCCAUGCCUACUUUUUAAAACCCCUAGAACUCAAUGAUUUGACAAUGAUUUGAUUGCGCGUUACUUUCAAUUUGAAUAUUCAAAGGCUACUCAAAAAUACAGAUUUUUCAGUAUAAAUCAAUACAUACGCACUUAAAAUAACAUUUAAUUUAAUAUAAUUUAAUAAUAGUUUAUACCCAAACCAAAAAGAAAUUGACAUUUUGAACAUUUUAUCCAUCUUUUGCCAAUCUGCCCAUCAGUCCCUCUUCAUAAUGAGGCACUACAGGAAAGUAACGGUUAGAUGUUCUAUGUAAACAUGACCAACAAUUAAACAUCGCAGAUCAUAUGUAUUUCAGGAUGGAUGAGCACAUCAACACGUUAUGACCAUACAUUUUUAGUCUUAUUUUAAACAAUAAACUAUGACAUGUCUAGGUUGUGGGCGUGGCAUAUGGUAGCAGCCAUUUCUGCCAUCACUGACUCCAUUGCUCCCUCAGUAAUUGCAUGCUCCCCAUCACUGGAACUCACAUCACCCACGUCUUACCAAUUGUAUUAUAGUUGUUUUAGCAUUAUUUAGUGUAGUUACAUGAAUUCUAUAAUAUAAAGACUGAACGUUUCAGCCAUUCACAUGUCAAACCUGAUUUGACAUCCCAGGUCUCCUAUAUAUGAAUCGAGAAUACUAUCUACAAAUGAAUUACAAUGCAAAAAUUCGGUUUACAAACGUCUGAUAUAUUUUUAAUUCAAUGACAAGACUCCCCGAUUAGUCUACUUGUGUAGGCUAGGCCUACUUAGAUGUGGACAAAGUCAUUUCAAUUGAUAGACUUAUUUGAAUAUUGUUACUGUCCAUACCAGUUUAAAUUUAUAAGAGUUUACAAUUUAAUACAUAUGAUAUGAGAAAACAGCACAUUGCUUUAGAGAAAACCAUUUCCUAUAGAUGUUCUUCCAUUGUGAGCCUACAUUACAUUUGAAUAACAAUUUACAAACAUAUCAAACAAUGAACUCGAACUUAUACCUAGUUUUAAUUCAAAUAGCUUAGAUUUCAGUUUUGGGGUAUCGAUCUAUCAUUAUCCUCACUCAUAUAUUGAGAAAAUGCACACACUAUCUGCCCAAUACAAUCUAUGGCCUUUCCUGAUUUGUACUGGUAGGGGCCUAUACAAUGAUCCCUAUUAUGUAGGCCUAAAUCCCAUCAUCUCCACUGGGUAGUUGUAUUGACAAACUUCUGACCUUCCAUAAAGUAGGACCUAGGUCCAUUAUCCUAACUACCAAGAAUAUUAUGCUAGUGCUCUCAUAGAAUAUCUAACGUUUGGCUUUUUAAAAUUAAUUUAUUGCUGCCGUUGCAAUCCCCCCCAUGAAUUACGCUAUUGUAAGAGACGAGGUAACAUGAAACAACCGCGCCAUCUAGUGUAGGAUAUACGUUAGUAGGUUCUCCCUAAGUCUUAAUUCGAUGUCGUGAUAACAGAACGAAGUAUAACUCAACAAACGGAAAAGGCAUGUUUUUUUCAUGUGUCAAUUUAGCAAAAAAUAUGUUUCAUUUUCAUGCAUUUAUUGCAGUGUCUUUUAUUAUAAUGGAUUUAUAAUAAAGAAUUCUACUGCCCUAUA